rnacentral:rRNA from 1 species
AUUGAACGCUGGCGGCAGGCCUAACACAUGCAAGUCGAGCGGAUGAAGGGAGCUUGCUCCUGGAUUCAGCGGCGGACGGGUGAGUAAUGCCUAGGAAUCUGCCUGGUAGUGGGGGAUAACGUCCGGAAACGGGCGCUAAUACCGCAUACGUCCUGAGGGAGAAAGUGGGGGAUCUUCGGACCUCACGCUAUCAGAUGAGCCUAGGUCGGAUUAGCUAGUUGGUGGGGUAAAGGCCUACCAAGGCGACGAUCCGUAACUGGUCUGAGAGGAUGAUCAGCCACACUGGAACUGAGACACGGUCCAGACUCCUACGGGAGGCAGCAGUGGGGAAUAUUGGACAAUGGGCGAAAGCCUGAUCCAGCCAUGCCGCGUGUGUGAAGAAGGUCUUCGGAUUGUAAAGCGCUUUAAGUUGGGAGGAAGGGCAGUAAGUUAAUACCUUGCUGUUUUGACGUUACCAACAGAAUAAGCACCGGCUAACUUCGUG